rnacentral:rRNA from 1 species
GACGAACGCUGGCGGCGUGCUUAAUACAUGCAAGUAGAACGCAGUUGCGAACGGGUGAGUAACGCGUAGGUAACUGCCUCAUAGCGGGGGAUAACUAUUGGAAAACAUAGACAAUACCGCAUACUGUGAGAUGGACAUGCGUUGUAUUAGCUAGUUGGUGGGGUAAAGGCUCACGAAGGCGACGAUACAUAGCCGACCUGGGAGGGUGAUCGGCCACACUGGGAAUGAGACACGGCCCAUAAGCCUACGGGAGGCAGCAAUAGGGAAUCUUCGGCAAUGGGCGGAAGUCUUGCCGAGCAACGCCGCGUGAGUGAAGGAGGUGUUCGGAGCGUAAAGCUCUGUUGUUAGAGAAGCGGUAACUACCCAGAAAGGGACGGCUAACUACGUGCCAGCAGCCGCGGUAAUUC